UAUAGCAUGCAGCGCACUAGGGAAUACGCUGUAUUGCUGAGGACAAACAGGAGAUCAAGGACAAAUAAUGUGAUUUUUAGCCGAAGGGACAAGAAGCAGGAAUAACAGUUCGGUCGGUGGAAGAAGGAGAAGGUGUGAGACCACUACCUACACUAAAUCACUCUAACAAAGAGUAACGUUAGAUGGCCGUGCUUCGGAGUGAUUAGGCCAACAAAAGUAGGAAACAAAAUAAAAUAUUUUAAUGCUCUUUAAAUAUAAAUCUAGCCCAAGCAGUAUCACAAAAGAUUUAUUCUACUACGAAAGCCAAGUACAUGUCUGAAGAAACCUAACUUACUUGAGUUGCAUUUUUCAUUUAAGUGGGAAUAUAAGUACUAUGGAUCAGGAAACGCUUUAAUUCCCUGUUUGCCUAAAUAUCCCCCAUUUCCCUGGACUGGUGCCUCGGCCCGCGCUGCACACGUGACCCCGAUCAAGUUUCACUCCUCGGAUCCAGUGCGGAAUUCCAGAAAAGAGUCGGUCGUUAUUCCGAGUCAUACUAUCAGAGUUGACCUUGCUCAUGACUUGGAUAUAAAUAUAUACGAGCACCUUUACAAAUACGGGUUUUGUUGCGGGGAGCACGCAUAACUCAGGACGACGCACUUUUUAUUUCGCAUGCAUCAACUCAUUUGUCGCAGUUAAAUAGCCUUCUGAUCAUUUCACUAACCAGCCGCUGGUUAACUCAGUGAUCGCGGAUAGACGUGGAUUAACCCGAAACAAAAACAUUAUCCGGUAGCAUUUAGCUGGAGUUAUGGCGACCCAGACCUUGAGCAAAGAUGAUGUCAGUUACAGGCUUCAUUUCCGCAUGAUCAACGAGCAACAAGUGGAGGAUAUUACCAUCGAGUUCUUCUACAAGCCUCACACGAUCACGUUGCUCACUUGCACCGUGAUCAGCUUGAUGUACUUCGCAUUUGCGAGGAACGACACGGAUCCGGACAGCAACUUAAGGGUGGGCCUCCUGUUGGUCAUCUUCUUCUUUCUCAUCAUUGGUGUCCUUGCCUUCCCCAACGGUCCGUUCACGAGGCCACAUCCAGUGAUAUGGCGCAUGGUUUUCGGUCUCAGUGUUCUGUACUUCCUCUUUCUGGUCUUCAUCAUCUUCCUGAACUGGGAACAGGUGAAGAGCCUGAUGUACUGGCUGGAUCCUGAUCUUCGCUACGCCACCCGUGAAGUCGAAGUCAUGGAGUAUGCGGUGAACUGUCACGUCAUCACCUGGGAGCGCAUCCUCAGCCACUUCGACAUCUUCGCCUUCGGGCACUUCUGGGGCUGGGCCAUGAAGGCGCUGCUCAUCCGCAGCUACGGACUCUGCUGGACCAUCAGCAUCACCUGGGAGCUGACGGAGCUGUUCUUCAUGCAUCUUCUGCCCAACUUUGCUGAGUGUUGGUGGGAUCAGGUGAUCCUGGACAUCCUCCUGUGCAACGGGGGAGGUAUCUGGCUGGGCAUGACCGUCUGCCACUUCCUGGAGAUGCGGGCGUACCACUGGGCCAGCAUCAAGGACAUACAUAGCACCACGGGGAAGAUCAAGCGAGCCGCGCUGCAGUUCACGCCUGCCAGCUGGACCUACGUGCGCUGGUUUGACCCCAAGUCGUCCUUUCAGAGGGUGGCGGGCGUCUACCUCUUCAUGAUUCUCUGGCAGCUGACGGAGCUCAACACAUUCUUCCUGAAGCACAUCUUCGUAUUUCAGGCUUCCCACCCCCUCAGCUGGUGUCGGAUCCUGUUCGUCGGUAUUAUCACGGCCCCCACCGUACGGCAGUAUUAUGCUUAUCUCACCGAUACGCAGUGCAGAAGGGUCGGGACGCAGUGCUGGGUCUUCGGGGCUAUCGCCUUCCUGGAAGCCCUGGCCUGCGUUAAAUUCGGCCAGGACCUCUUCUCCAAGACUCAGGUCCUCUACGUCAUCCUCUGGCUCCUGUGCCUGGCCUUCAUCACAUUCCUCUGCCUCUACGGGAUGGUGUGGUACGCGGAGAGGUUCGAGACGCAUCACAAGAACCAUUCGGAAUGUGAGGAUCCCUACGACAGAGAUUCGAAAGACUGUUGGCCUAAAAAGAUCAAAGGUACAGAGGUAUUCUGUAGCUGAAAAAGCUUGUUGGAUAUAAACAAAGUGUGACGAAUUACAUGGCCUGACACAUCCAGAAGGAGAAGAUUCAGGGGGGGCUGCCCUUCGCUCAUCCAAGCAGAGGAGGAGCGUGGGCAAGAACAAGGCGAGCAAUGGGCAAGACAGGCGGAAGGGAAGACUGGUUUGACCCCCCCAACACCACUACCUCCACCAUUGUUGGUGGUGACUGGGAAUCAGGCAGAGAAUUGAUCACUAUACAGGAUCUCUGCACAGUCUGUGAGCAAAGCAGAGCAGAGGGGAGAGAAUGUAGAUGGUUGGUGGAAGAUGAUACCCGGUCUGAUGCCGUCUGGUCAUUUUUGGACAAACUGCUGUUUUCAUUGUACCGCGUGACCCACUGCCAACCUGUGAGAGUCUCUGUAUGUUGCAGGAUAGCAGUUCUUCACUUGGACUGCAAAACCCAAGAAGCCAAUCAGAGAGCGAAUUACUACUGUGAAUUUGCAUGCAAGCUCCACCUAUACUAUAGACGCUGUGCUUAUUUGUUGGUCUUGUCCCAGUGGCAGUAUUUAUCACCAUAGUAUCUUGUAAGGUAUUUGUAAUACCGGCGUUUAUGAUUUGAACAUAGAGCACUGAACAUUUGAAAAUAUGUAUAGAAUAUCAAGAUUUUAAAUGGGCAGCUUGGAAAACCCUGAGUGAAACACAGUUUCGGUACUUUUUAAGUCGUUUGAUCUGUGACUUAUGUUUGUAACAUUGUGGUGCUUGUUUAUGAAGUUGUACUAACAGAACCUGCAUGUGUUUCAGGUUCUGCGUGUUUGUGUUUCUCUUAUAGGUUUUCAUUAUAAGUCCUUAAGUUACCUUCCUAAAAUGGGCCUCCUCUCACUAUUGCUUCUUUGCCCUGAUGGAUGUUAUCAUUCAUCUCUGGUACUUGAUUGACAUUCACUCGUCUGUACUGCUUCUCUCGUAGCUGAUAGGGGUCUUGAGAUUUGACAGUGAUGUUAAUCUUCCUGGAAAUCGCUGAGCAUCACGUCCUGAAACAUUUAAUCACAUAAAUCAGACUGACAGUCCUGGUGACAUUUGCACAAUCUGUCUACGCCUUGAGAAACUUUUUUCUUAAGCAUGUUGGGUUUUGUAUGUUGUAGAUUUUGGUUGCACUUUAAGAUGCUUUAAUAAUAAACCUGUUUUGGAUGAUUUUUUUUCCUAACCAAUGGGAUGAUCUUCCUGUAAUUUACAUGGAAAUUGGUAAUAACAUUGUAUUAACCAAAUGGACACUAAUGAUAUGAUACUUUUGUGGUGAACUUACAUUUAAUGAAAUUUUAAAUUUUAAACAUUAAAUGGGUUAUAAAUGUUAUAACAAUGGACUACUGUACUGUAUUUAGGUCAUAAAGAUAUUUCUAGACUGAGUGCUUUUUUCCAGACUCCCUUUUUUAUUACGUUACAUUGUGAUACAUUGUCAGCAUAGCAACAGACUGACAUCUCUGAAUAUGUCAAACUCAUAACACCAUCGGUUAACCUCUGACCUCCUGGAGGUGAUAUCUGUCACAGCGAUCAUUUUUAAAGUGCUAAUAAAAAAAUCCCAAAUUUCCUA